UACGUAGGGUGCAAGCGUUGUCCGGAAUUAUUGGGCGUAAAGAGCUCGUAGGCGGCUUGUCACGUCGAUUGUGAAAGCCCGGGGCUUAACUCCGGGUCUGCAGUCGAUACGGGCUAGCUAGAGUGUGGUAGGGGAGAUCGGAAUUCCUGGUGUAGCGGUGAAAUGCGCAGAUAUCAGGAGGAACACCGGUGGCGAAGGCGGAUCUCUGGGCCAUUACUGACGCUGAGGAGCGAAAGCGUGGGGAGCGAACAGG
rnacentral:rRNA from 1 species